GCAAGUCGAGCGCACUUAUGACCUUCGGGUUAUAGGCGAGCGGCGGACGGGUUAGUAACGCGUGGGAACGUACCCUUUUCUAAGGAAUAGCCUCGGGAAACUGAGAGUAAUACCUUAUACGCCCUUCGGGGGAAAGAUUUAUCGGAUUUGGAUCAGCCCGCGUUAGAUUAGAUAGUUGGUGGGGUAACGGCCUACCAAGUCUACGAUCCAUAGCUGGUUUGAGAGGAUGAUC
rnacentral:rRNA from 1 species